GUCAGUUAGGGGCAGCUUACACAUGCAGUCGAACGGUGAAGCCAAGCUUGCUUGGUGGAUCAGUGGCGAACGGGUGAGUAACACGUGAGCAACCUGCCCUGAACUCUGGGAUAAGCGCUGGAAACGGCGUCUAAUACUGGAUAUGAGCUGCGGAGGCAUCUUCGUGGUUGGAAAGAUUUUUCGGUUUGGGAUGGGCUCGCGGCCUAUCAGCUUGUUGGUGAGGUAAUGGCUCACCAAGGCGUCGACGGGUAGCCGGCCUGAGAGGGUGACCGGCCACACUGGGACUGAGACACGGCCCAGACUCCUACGGGAGGCAGCAGUGGGGAAUAUUGCACAAUGGGCGGAAGCCUGAUGCAGCAACGCCGCGUGAGGGAUGACGGCCUUCGGGUUGUAAACCUCUUUUAGCAGGGAAGAAGCGAAAGUGACGGUACCUGCAGAAAAAGCGCCGGCUAACUACGUGCCAGCAGCCGCGGUAAUACGUAGGGCGCAAGCGUUAUCCGGAAUUAUUGGGCGUAAAGAGCUCGUAGGCGGUUUGUCGCGUCUGCUGUGAAAUCUGGGGGCUCAACCCCCAGCCUGCAGUGGGUACGGGCAGACUAGAGUGCGGUAGGGGAGAUUGGAAUUCCUGGUGUAGCGGUGGAAUGCGCAGAUAUCAGGAGGAACACCGAUGGCGAAGGCAGAUCUCUGGGCCGUAACUGACGCUGAGGAGCGAAAGGGUGGGGAGCAAACAGGCUUAGAUACCCUGGUAGUCCACCCCGUAAACGUUGGGAACUAGUUGUGGGGUCCAUUCCACGGAUUCCGUGACGCAGCUAACGCAUUAAGUUCCCCGCCUGGGGAGUACGGCCGCAAGGCUAAAACUCAAAGGAAUUGACGGGGGACCCGCACAAGCGGCGGAGCAUGGCGGAUUAAUUCCGAUGCAACGCGAAAAAACCUUACCAAGGCUUGACAUACACCGAGAAACGUUGCAGAAAUGGAAAACUCUUUUGGAACCUCCUUGAACAAGGGGGGGCAAGGGUUGCCUCCACCUCCGGGUCCUGGAAAAUGUUGGGGUUAAAGUCCCCGCAAACAGAGCGCAACCCUCCGUUUCUAGGUUGCCAAGCCCCGUAAAUGUGGGGGAAACUCUUGGGGAUAAUUGGCCGGGGGUCCAAUUCCGGAAGGAAAGGUGGGGGGAUAGACGUCCAAAACCCCCAUGGCCCCCUUUAAGGCUUUGGGGGUUCCCCCCCAAGGGUCAAAAAUGGGCCGGGGUAAAAAAGGGUUCGGGAAAACCCCCGCGGGGUUGGAGACGAAAUUCCCCAAAAAAACCGGGGUCCCCACCUUUUCCUGAAUAUAAAGGGUUCGGGCGACUCCCCGCACCCCUUCGGGAGGGAGGGGGGAGGUCCUCUCAUAAAAACUCCCCAACAGAAUACAAACAAACUCGGUCGGUGGUGGAUAAAAAUAUUCUCCCCCCGGGGGGUUUUUUGUAAAAAACCCCCCCGCGCCCCCGAAAAAAUUUGGAAAAAGGGAGACGGGUAGGACAACCUCCCAGAAAACGGGGGGGGGGGCACCCCCCCCCCUCUUUUUUUGGGGGGGGAGGGGGUCCCCCCUCAAAAAAUGGGAGGGCUUUAAUAGGGAAAAUUUUUUUUAAAGGCCUAUAUAAGAGGGCUCAUUUCAAACUGCAAAAUGUUUAACAAUACACUUU
rnacentral:rRNA from 1 species